rnacentral:misc_RNA from 1 species
GUUGCUGCUGCUGCUGCUGAGGCUCGUGUAUCACCAAUUGUCCGCCGUGCGUUGGCUGACUAGGGACACUCAUUAUCGGCAACGCCCCAUGUUGCAUCAGAGACGAAGCAGUUGGGUUACCCAGAUGCGUCUGAGGCAUAUACGCUUGGGUUUGCAGAGUGGGAAGCAUUGCUUGAGGACCAAUAUACUGUGCCAGCUCUUUCUUAGCGUUGUAGAGAUCACUUUGGAGUUCCUUAAGCCUGUGUUGAAGGAUCGAGAUUAGACCAACACAACCGUAGACAGGAUCGCGGAGACGAGCCUCCGCUUCAUAAGCAAGGGAAUUCACAGCAUCUUCGCGUUGCACGGUGUUGAGCUCGUUGAGAAGCUUAGCGACGUUGCUGGCCCCAAAUACCCUGUGGACAUUAGCGAAUUUUUGAGGCUGAUCAGGAGGGAAAUACGGUGCAAAAACGCAUUCU